AUUGAACGCUGGCGGAAUGCUUUACACAUGCAAGUCGAACGGCAGCACGGGAGCUUGCUCCUGGUGGCGAGUGGCGAACGGAUGAGUAAUGCGUCGGAACGUGCCGAGUAAUGGGGGAUAACGCAGCGAAAGUUGUGCUAAUACCGCAUACGCCCUGAGGGGGAAAGUGGGGGAUCGCAAGACCUCACGUUAUUCGAGCGGCCGACGUCUGAUUAGCUAGUUGGUGGGGUAAAGGCCUACCAAGGCGACGAUCAGUAGCGGGUCUGAGAGGAUGAUCCGCCACACUGGGACUGAGACACGGCCCAGACUCCUACGGGAGGCAGCAGUGGGGAAUUUUGGACAAUGGGGGCAACCCUGAUCCAGCCAUUCCGCGUGAGUGAAGAAGGCCUCGGUUGUAAGACGUCUUUCCUCGUGGGACGAAACGAAAUAGACGGUACCGACACGGAGGAAGCCCGG
rnacentral:rRNA from 1 species